AUGGAGCAGCUCAUCCUGGAGGCCAUCUCCAAGCAUGUGGAGGACAAGAAGGUGAUCAGGAGUAGUCAGCAUGGCUUCACCAAGGGGAAAUCAUGCCUAACCAAUCUGGUAGCCUUCUAUGAUGGAAUGAUUGGCUGGGUAGAUGAGGGGAGAGCAGUGGAUGUUGUCUCCCUUGACUUCAGCAAGGCUUUUGACACUGUCUCCCAUAACCUCCUCAUAGACAAGCUCAGGAAGUGCGGGCUGGAUGAGUGGACAGUGAGGUGGAUUGAGAACUGGCUGAAUGGCAGAGCUCAGAGGGUUGUGAUCAGUGGCACAGAGUCUAGUUGGAGGCCUGUAGCUAGCGGUGUCCCCCAGGGGUCAGUACUGGGUCCAGUCUUGUUCAGUUUAUUCAUCAAUGACUUGGAUGAAGGGACAGAGUGCACCCUCAGCAAGUUUGCUGAUGAUACAAAACUGGGAGGAGUGGCGGAUACACCAGAGGGCUGUGCUGCCAUUCAGAGAGACCUAGACAGGCUGGAGAGGUGGGCAGAGAGGAACAUCAUCAAGUUCAACAACGGCAGGGUCCUGCACCUAGGGAGGAAUAACCCCAUACAGCAGCACAGGCUGGGGGUUGACCUGCUGGAAAGCAGCUCUGCAGAGAAGGACCUGGGAGUGCUGGUGGACACCAAGUUAAGCAUGAGACACCAAUGUGCCCUUGUGGCCAAUGGUACCCUGGGGUGCACUAGGAAGAGUGUUGCCAGCAGGCCAAGGGAGGUCAUCCUCCCCCUCUACUCAGCCCUGCUGAGGCCACAUCUGGAGCACUGCGUCCAGUUCUGGGCUCCCCGGUACAAGAGGGAUGUGGCACUACUGGAGCAAGUCCAGCGAAGGGCUAUGAAGAUGAUUAGGGGACUGGAGCAUCUCUCUUAUGAGGAAAGACUUAGAGAGCUGGGCCUGUUCAGCCUGGAGAAGAGAAGGCUGAGAGGAGAUCUUAUUAACGUGUACAAAUAUCUGAAGGGAGGGUGUCGAGAGGAUGGGACCAGAUUCUUUUCAGUGGUGCCCAGUGACAGGACGCGAGGCAAGGGGCACAAACUGAAACACAGACAGUUCCGUCUGAAUAUGAAGAAAAACUUCUUUACCGUGAGGGUGACAGAGCACUGGAACAGGUUGCCCAGAGAGGCUGUGGAGUCUCCUUCUCUGGAGACAUUCAAAACCUGCCUGGACGCGAUCCUGUGCAACAUGCUCUAG
rnacentral:lncRNA from 1 species